rnacentral:rRNA from 1 species
CUGCCGCCGGCGACCGGCGCACGGGUGAGUAACGCGUAUGCAACCUGGCCGUGACAGAUGGAUAACCGGGAGAAAUCCCGCCUAAUACAACAUAAUGCCGGGAGGGGACAUCCCCUGCCGGCCAAAGGGGGCGACCCCGGUCACGGAUGGGCAUGCGGCGCAUUAGGUAGUUGGUGGGGCAACGGCCCACCAAGCCGACGAUGCGUAGGGGUUCUGAGAGGAAGGUCCCCCACAUUGGAACUGAGACACGGUCCAAACUCCUACGGGAGGCAGCAG